AAUAGAUACCCUGGUAGUCCACGCCCUAAACGAUGUCGACUGGUUGUUGGGGGGUUUGACACUCUCAGUAACGAAGCUAACGCGUGAAGUCGACCGCCUGGGGAGUACGGCCGCAAGGUUAAAACUCAAAGGAAUUGACGGGGACCCGCACAAGCGGUGGAUUAUGUGGAUUAAUUCGAUGCAACGCGAAAAACCUUACCUACCCUUGACAUGUCCGGAAGGCUGCUGAAAGGCGGCUGUGCCCGAAAGGGAACUGGAACACAGGUGCUGCAUGGCUGUCGUCAGCUCGUGUCGUGAGAUGUUGGGUUAAGUCCCGCAACGAGCGCAACCCUUGUCAUUAGUUGCUACAUUCAGUUGGGCACUCUAAUGAGACUGCCGGUGACAAACCGGAGGAAGUGGGGAUGACGUCAAGUCCUCAUGGCCCUUAUGGGUAGGGCUUCACACGUAAUACAAUGGCGCGUACAGAGGGCUGCUAAGCCGCAAGGUAGAGCCAAUCCCUUAAAGCGCGUCGUAGUCCGGAUUGCAGUCUGCAA
rnacentral:rRNA from 1 species